rnacentral:rRNA from 1 species
AGCAGCCGCGGUAACACCGGCGGCCGAGUGGUGAUCGUGAUUAUUGGGUCUAAAGGGUCCGUAGCCGGUUUGGUCAGUCCUCCGGGAAAUCUGAUAGCUCAACUAUUAGGCUUUCGGGGGAUACUGCCAGACUUGGAACCGGGAGAGGUAAGAGGUACUACAGGGGUAGGAGUGAAAUCUUGUAAUCCCUGUGGGACCACCUGUGGCGAAGGCGUCUUACCAGAACGGGUUCGACGGUGAGGGACGAAAGCUGGGGGCACGAACCGGAUUAGAUACCCGGGUAGUCCCAGCCGUAAACGAUGCUCGCUAGGUGUCAGGCAUGGCGCGACCGUGUCUGGUGCCGCAGGGAAGCCGUGAAGCGAGCCACCUGGGAAGUACGGCCGCAAGGCUGAAACUUAAAGGAAUUGGCGGGGGAGCACAACAACGGGUGGAAGCCUGCGGUUUAAUUGGACUCAACGCCGGACAACUCACCGGGGGCGACAGCAAUAUGUAGGCCAAGCUGAAGACUUUGCCUGAAUCGCUGAGAAGUGGUGCAUGG